rnacentral:lncRNA from 1 species
UGGAGAAGGCAACGAUUUAUACCCUGGCGGCCAAUACUUUGACCCACUCGGCUUAGCUGAUGACCCUACAACAUUUGCAGAACUCAAGGUGAAGGAGAUCAAGAACGGAAGAUUGGCGAUGUUCUCCAUGUUCGGAUUCUUCGUUCAAGCUAUUGUCACCGGCAAAGGCCCUCUUGAGAACCUAUUGGACCACCUUGACAACCCUGUUGCUAAUAAUGCUUGGGUUUAUGCCACUAAAUUUGUUCCUGGAUCUUAAGAUUUAUGUUUCAAUUCUUCUAAAGUACUUUUGUGUAACUGAACCAUUGAGAAAUGCAAAUAUGCUGUAGAUGAAAUAAUUUUGAGUUGAGUCGUAUUCUUUGAGAGUAACAUUUUACACUGUCAACUUGUUUAAAUGGUCUUCUAGAUUCUCAAUUACUCUUUUUAAUGGGAAUGAAAAAAUAGUGUCAUGUAUCAAAUUGAUAUGAAUAAAUGAAUGCACUCUAACUAGAAAGAUAAACCUGUACGGGUCAAAA